rnacentral:lncRNA from 1 species
UUCGGCUGCUCAUAUGGAUGCAUAUAAAUCAGUGGACAUGACAUGCCAGAUUAAUGGGCAGUUGGCAAAUUGAUCGUGUCCUCAUGCUCCCUCCCUUCAAUACGCUCGAUUGCGAUUGACGAUGAUUUAAAACUUUUCAUUUUAAUUAGUACACUCUCUCAUAUGGUUUUCCUACUUUUGGCCAUAAUUGUUCCAAGAAAAAUCGCAUCGGAAAGGGAGACUAAAGGCAGCAAUAACUCUCUGAUGCAUCAUGCUAUACAUGUGAUGUACUAGCUUUUCUCAAGGGUACGCUUGGGAGUAUUUAUCAUUCAAUUAUACAAUGAUCACUUUUGGAAACAAUUAUCUACAUCAACAUGUUUAGAAAUAUCUGUGAAACUAAGCAUAACAACUCAGUAGAAAAUAUUGCUAAAGGGAUGUAGAAUCACUUUCUCCGAAAAAUUUCCAACCAAAUAGAAUAAAAUAUCAGAGGACUUGCACGGAAUCUUCAUGCCAUACCUUGCCUAUCUACCAAAGUACGCUGCAUAGGGAGGUAAAAACAAUGAAAUUAAGGGGGGAAAGGAAAGAAGAGAAAUGGUCUAGCUAGACAUACUAUGCAUCCUCUAGGGUUUCAUCAUGACAGACAGCAUAUUUUCACAAGCAUAUCCUAACUGCUUUUUUCCACAACGAUCGCCUCACAUGUCCAACAAAAUGUCCUGUUUCCGAUCAAUGGUGCUGGAGAAGCAACAAAGCCCAGUGUCUCCUCUUUUUUGUCCAGCAAAAGGGUACGUAGAUUGUACAGGGAGCUAGCCAAUGUGUUUUCUUGUCCUACAUUGAGAGGUUGUAACACUGAAAUGACAAAAUAUCCAAGUGCACGAUCCUUGC